AUUGAACGCUGGCGGCAGGCUUAACACAUGCAAGUCGAGCGGAGAGAGGUAGCUUGCUACUGAUCUUAGCGGCGGACGGGUGAGUAAUGCUUAGGAAUCUGCCUAUUAGUGGGGGACAACAUUUCGAAAGGAAUGCUAAUACCGCAUACGUCCUACGGGAGAAAGCAGGGGAUCUUCGGACCUUGCGCUAAUAGCUGAGCCUAAGUCGGAUUAGCUAGUUGGUGGGGUAAAGGCCUACCAAGGCGACGAUCUGUAGCGGGUCUGAGAGGAUGAUCCGCCACACUGGGACUGAGACACGGCCCAGACUCCUACGGGAGGCAGCAGUGGGGAAUAUUGGACAAUGGGCGGAAGCCUGAUCCAGCCAUGCCGCGUGUGUGAAGAAGGCUUUAUGGUUGUAAAGCACUUUAAGCGAGGAGGAGGCUACUUUAGUUAAUACCUAGAGAUAGUGGACGUUACUCGCAGAAUAAGCACCGGCUAACUCUGUGCCAGCAGCCGCGGUAACAC
rnacentral:rRNA from 1 species